GGACUGAGAUACGGCCCAGACUCCUACGGGAGGCAGCAGUGGGGAAUAUUGCACAAUGGGCGGAAGCCUGAUGCAGCAACGCCGCGUGCGGGAUGACGGCCUUCGGGUUGUAAACCGCUUUCACCAGGGGCGAAGGCAUUCUUUUGGGGUGUUGACGGUACCUGGAGAAGAAGCACCGGCUAACUACGUGCCAGC
rnacentral:rRNA from 1 species